UUCCCAUUCAUUUUCAAUGGAAGGAAAGCGGUGAGAAGCGGAGAGGGCAGGGACCAUUGGGCGGUACGAAUGUGGCAUGGGACGUGGUGAAAAAGUUCAAAAUCCCCCAACUUUAUGCAAAUCACCAGCAGCGACCAGUGGGCGAUGACCAAUCAUAUGGAGUAGUUCCCAUGACGAAUUUGACUCUCUGCGACCCAAGGCUGGAGACUUUCUUCAGCAAAGAUGGCUGACAAAAAUAGUAGGAUGGAAGCAAAUGGACUCCUUAAACAACCAGCAAACCAGGCUGACAUCUUGUGAAACAGUGGAUGUAAAGAAUCUAGCUAGCUAAAGCUUUUACUGCAAAUUGAAUGUACAAUUUUGUAAGCCUGCUUUGCUGAUAUUUGCCAUGCAAUGCAGCUGAAGUAACGUAGCUAGCCAACUAUUUUCUUGCUUAUUGCGCAGUGGAGGAUAAAAAUACUUGUAUGCCUAUGGAUGUGUAGCUAGCUAUGUAGCUGAUCUGUGUAUGGAUCCUAAAACAUUUGGUAAACAUAUUAGUUCAGAACCUAGCUAUGAACCUCAGCUAUCAUAGCCAGUUGUAUCAACUUCAAAACAGUCUGAAUGACAUUAAUGAAGCCUAUGGAUUGAGUAGAAUAUAAUAUAACUUUGUGCGAAGGACACAAGUCGUAUAUACAUGUAGUUAUUACCAUGCAUGAGAUCCCCACAUUGUAGCCUGUACAUUUAAUAUAUUCACUGAUCAUGUACUCUACCUUAGCAAAUAAAGGUGCAGUUCAGGCA